rnacentral:lncRNA from 1 species
GACGGAGAGGCGGGGGAGGGCGGGAGGGCAGGAGGGCGGGUGGGUGCGGGAACACAGACCCGAUGCGCGAGCGGGAGCUGGCGCAGGGGAUCCGAACUGGCGAGUUCAAGUCACCUGGGAUGGCAAGUGCUGCCAGGAGCGCGCCGAGAACAGAAGUGUCAGCAGAGGACUGUAAGUGCUAUGUGAUUGGACGACGGUGGCCAUAGAAUUUCACCUGCCCAGCACGUAUUCUCUCAUCCUCUCCUCCUCUGCCUUCUUUGGGAGGGAGAAAUCAGAAGGAGUGGGGAUGCAGUUCAGAGAGCAGAGGAGAAGAGAAGAAAAGAAGGAAGAAGGAAGAGGACUAGGGUUGGGUGGGGGGGGAGGACACCAAUGGGAAGAGGGACAGAUCAACUCUAUACACAAAAGUAAAUCAAAACACCAAAAACAGGGGUCUAUGUAAAGAAGCCUCUUCCCGUGAAUUGCUCGUUGCAUAGCUGCAGGGAGGGUGUUUAGGGGCAUAGAGAAUGAAAACAUACCUGUAUUUUGGUGUAGGGAAAUUGUUUCUGUCAAUUCACACCGUCCACACACCACCUCCCACCCCAACCCCGCCACUACCAAAUUCCUCUAAAUAAAAAUAAUUAUGAGAUACAGGCCAACAAAAACGUCAGCGUUAGGCUGUUAUUUAGAGAGAAUUGGAAAGCGUUUGAAUGUGGCCCUGUUGUUUAAUAAACGAUAACAAUGAUUACUAAGUUGUCCUGAGUCAAUACAACAAAUUUAGCAAAUGGUCCUUUGGGUCCUUAUAAAGUGAAGAGUUGACGGAGACAGAUUUGUAUAUGGGGCAGGGAUG